CCCUUCUUUUUCUCUUCUUGGUGGUUAAUUUGCAUCCUUUCUCUUUUCUUAUGGUUGGACCUUAUCAGGGUGACCACUGGAUCCCACCCCACCCUCAAGCAGGUGGGGAGGAGAGUGGGUAUUGAUUUGGGCUCAGACUGAGUCUAAGGAACUUUAUUUAGCCCACCAAGCAGAAGUCCAGUGUUACUCACACACCUUCAUGUAAAGCCAUGCACUUCCUCAGAGCUCCAUCAUUUUCAUUCCUCUUCUUUCCCCUCACCCCAUGCCUGGGAGUUUAACCAAGAUUACGGAAAUCUUUUUAGGGAUCAGAAACUGAACAUAAUGAAGCCACUUCGACUUCAGGAAGAGUGAUCUGUGGGAUCUAAUAGUAGCUGAGCUAACCUUAUUAGAAAGUAUUUUCUCUCUCAAACACACCAAGUCAACUCACAAAAUACUAUUAAUAUGUAUAUUUUCAACUCCUAUUCCUACAAUAGUCACAAACUUACAAAUCAACUGAUGCUUUUCUUGUGAUCUUUUUCCCUCUAAUAUACACACACACACACACAAAUCACUUUUUAAAAAAUAUUUCUCUUCCAUCCA
rnacentral:lncRNA from 1 species